GGCCACAGAUGGCCUAUUGGCUGUCGCACGAGAUGGAAGAGAGUUGGUGAUUGAAAAUGAUUUUCAUGUAAAAAUUUCAAUAGACUCUCUUCGCCUAUCUAGUGGAUUCCUAUACACCCAGGAUUCUUGCUCUAGGAAAUCUUAGUUUGGCUCAACUUACGACUUCUUCACCUUCUGUUUUUGGGAAACCAUAAUCAUCAUGAUGCUUUUCCGGGUCUGAUGUUUCCGUUUGCCAAAAACUUGUACUCGCCAGAGCUUCUUCAGCCUUUUAGUUUCAUUAUUCUACUCAAUAUACCUACAUACAUAUGUCAAUCUAAUGCUGCCGAAGUAAGUUACUAUGGAACUCAGCCAAUUUGCACUGAUCAGUUAUUGGAAAAAGAUUGUCAGAAGGAAACAUGGCUGUGUUUUAAAUAUGAUACUUUAUUUUAUUUAAAUGUGCGGUUGAAUUUUUAAUACAUAAAUUUUUGGAAGUACUUAGGUUCUAAGUAAAUCAAAAAUAUAUAAAUUUUAAAUAUAUCUAA